rnacentral:rRNA from 1 species
UUCGCCAGGGAACAACGAGCCUCAGCUUAAAACCCAAAGGACUUGGCGGUGCUUUAGACCCCCCUAGAGGAGCCUGUCCUAGAACCGAUAAUCCCCGUUUAACCUCACCCCCUCUUGUUCUUUCCCGCCUGUAUACCUCCGUCGUCAGUCCACCCUGUAAGGGCCUAAAAGUGGGCAAGGUUGGCACAGCCUAAAACGCCAGGUCGAGGUGCAGCUUAUGAGGGGGGAAGAGAUGGGCUACAUUUUCUGAUCCAGCAAGCACGGAUUUUGCCCUGAAAAAGCAUCUGAAGGUGGAUUUAGUAGUAAGGAGGGAUCAGAGUGCCCUCCUGAAACCGGCACUGAAGCGCGUACACACCGCCCGUCACUCUCCCCGAGACAUCUAACACCCAUACGUAAUAACUCAACACAAAGCAAGGGGAGGCAAGUCGUAACAUGGUAAGUGUACCGGAAGGUGUACUUAGACAAAUCC